GAGGCAAGCAGGACUUUGACCGUGAGCCGAGCUGACAAGACGAGGCAGGGCGUAGAGGAGGGAGGACAGACGGACAGGGAGAGAGCCGAGGACGUCACUCAAACCCCGGAGGUCAGGUCGCACAGCAAAGGGACAUAAUGACACAUGACAGUGGCAGAAUGAGUCCACUGUCCACAGGGCAAAAACAGUUCUGCUUAUGUUAUACAUGAUGAUGAUGUGUGCUAUAGCUGGAAAAUAAACUGAGAGGUUCUGCUUUAUUGCAUUACCACCACCUCAUUAAUCAGAGGAGCUUUUCUCAUCUUCCCUUUAAAAUUGGCCGUAACAGCGUCGGAAACGCAGAUGAAGCAGAAGUUCUUCGCAGUGAUGUUGCACAGUUUUAUUGUCUGUAAAGGGCUCAGAACAAUAUUAGAAAUAUCUUGGAGACUGCCUUCGUUCUUAUGGACAUGUAGUCCGGAGAACAAUGCUGCGAUGUCCUACUGUGCAGCCAAGCUUUUCAAACCCCAGCCAUCGCCAGACCACAGGCUGAGAGCUUCCAUUGUCAAGAGCAGGGCAUAGCUGGGGAACAACUACCGACAGUGUCACCGCGCUCCUGCGCAGACCGGGGGCUGACGUCAGGAUGGUAAACGCUGAUCUAUGGUCAUUCAUCGCACCGCUUCAUCGGCUUAGUGUGCUGAUGUCAUUCAGCAGGCUAGACCUGCAUCCAUUACUCUGCUGAGGGAGGCAGACGUCAGGCUAGCAUGAUCACAGACUGGCUACAAUGAAUGAGUAAUGCAUCACGUUAUGGCAGCUUUACUUCAGAAGGUCAUAAAAUAGACAGUUUGGUUUUUGUCUAGGUCUUUGAAUUAUUGCCUCUGCAUUCUUUCACAGAACGCUUUCAUUUAUGAAUAUGCAAAAAUGUACAAAUUCAUUUGGAAUAAAUAUAAAUAUGUUGUCAAUUAAUGUUGUAUAGUGUAGUAUAAAAUUUACAACCAAUAAAUAAAUAACAUAAAACACUAUAAACUAGUUUUUACACCUUCUCUGCUGGUUUUCUUUCUGGUGUGUGAACUACAGCAUGUGAACUAGAAGUCUCUUUUCUCUCAGGGUGAAGCAGCUCAGAUAAGAGACUAAAUUCAUAAGCCAUAUUACAUCUCCCCUACUUUAUCACACACACACACACACACACACACACACACACACACACACCACACUUACCCCACAAUGAGACCUAAAACGAAAAAUAGGCAGAGGGUCGAGGGAGA
rnacentral:lncRNA from 1 species